rnacentral:rRNA from 1 species
CCGUAAACGAUGUGUGUUAGACGUUGGAAAUUUAUUUUCAGUGUCGCAGGGAAACCGAUAAACACACCGCCUGGGGAGUACGACCGCAAGGUUAAAACUCAAAUGAAUUGACGGGGACCCGCACAAGUAGUGGAGCAUGUGGUUUAAUUCGAAGAUACGCGCAGAACCUUACCAACACUUGACAUGUUCGUCGCGACUCUAAGAGAUUAGAGUUUUCGGUUCGGCCGGACGAAACACAGGUGCUGCAUGGCUGUCGUCAGCUCGUGUCGUGAGAUGUUGGGUUAAGUCCCGCAACGAGCGCAACCCUCACUUUUAGUUGCCAUCAUUAAGUUGGGCACUCUGAAAGAACUGCCAGUGAUAAGCUGGAGGAAGGUGGGGAUGACGUCAAGUCCUCAUGGCCCUUACGUGUUGGGCUACACACGUGCUACAAUGGCAUCUACAACAGGAAGCAAAACGGCAACGUUAAGCAAAUCCCGAAAAGAUGCCUCAGUUCGGAUUGCACUCUGCCACUCGAGUGCAUGAAGCUGGAAUUACUAGUAAUCGUGGAUCAGCGUGCCACGGUGAAUGCGUUCCCGGGUCUU